GAUCAGGCACUUACCUGGCUGCAGGAGACUGCUGGUUUAAAUUCUCCCUUUGCCAGAUGAGAUGAAGAGAUUUGAAGAGGCAUCUGUGACUUCUCAGAUACUAUGCUUCGCAUGGCUGGCAAACAAGGAACUCCUGGAAGAAGAUAGGAAAACAGAUGUCCCCCAAAUAUAAAAGAAACCAGCUUUUUUUGUCUUCCGAGCACUGCCUGAAAUGAUUGUCAAUUCAGUGUCACUCCACUUAUAUAAAAAAUGGUGUCAUUCCAUAGUGGUCCAUGCUGGUUUGCUGCAUGGAGGCUCUUCCUGCUCAGCAAAAGCUUAACUAUGAUAUUUAUCGGCAACAUGGACUUCAAUCAAAACGAACUUUAUGUAAAUUGAGAGAAUUACACAUUAUAUGCUGAUUAAAUAUGCAACAAUCAUCAAAUACAGGGCCUCUUGUUCCUAUGGAAGGGAGAGAUCUGGCUUAGCAGCUUGCUUGGCAGAGAUUUAAUGGGAUUCGGGCUCUGGGGAGCUCUUAG